CAAAUAUUAAUCGCUUCUAAUGGAAAUUCUUUGCCCAGGAGACUACAUUCAGCAAGCUGCCUUACGAGAUUUUGUUUUAGCUUUCUUUUGGAUUCAGCAAGGCUAGCUGUGAAGAUUUCAGCACUACAGAAAGCUCUGCAGAAGCUCACUUCAGAACUGUUUAUGUCUACACUUAUGGAAGAGGUUCAUAUCCAGAGUGAAGACCUGGAGAACCUGAGAAAUAUUUUCAAAUGUCAUGAUGACAAUAGAAAAUGAUCAGAUUGCCGAGAAGAUUGGACACGUUUGAUAUUUUGUUCCAAUGGAGUCCCAGGUUCCAUCUAACGAAUAGAAUUAACGAGAAUUGUUUUUGAAAAAUAUAAACAUUGUGUUUCCAUGAUACAAAACUUAUACUUUAAUUAAUCUUAACAUACUGGUUACGUUUAAGGUACUUUAUUUCAAAAAGUAAAUCAUGUUAGAGCACAAAAUCUAAAUAAACAUAUUUGUCACCUG